UACAGGGGGGGCAAGCGUUGUUCGGAAUUACUGGGCGUAAGGGGCUCGUAGGCGGCCAACUAAGUCACACGUGAAAUCCCCAGGCUUAACCUGGGAACUGCGUGUGAUACUGGAUGGCUUGAAUUCGGGAGAGGGAUGCAGAAUUCCAGGUGUAGCGGUGAAAUGCGUAGAUAUCUGGAGGAAUACCGGUGGCGAAGGCGGCAUCCUGGACCGACAUUGACGCUGAUGAGCGAAAGCUAGGGGAGCAAACGGG
rnacentral:rRNA from 1 species